rnacentral:misc_RNA from 1 species
CUCGUCCUAUGUUGCCAGCGAGUUCGGGGACUCAUAGGAGACUGCCGGGGUCAACUCGGAGGAAGGUGGGGAUGACGUCAAGUCAUCAUGCCCCUUACGUCUUGGGCUGCACACAUGCUACAAUGGCCGGUACAAAGGGCUGCGAUACCGUGAGGUGGAGCGAAUCCCAAAAAGCCAGUCUCAGUUCGGAUCGGGGUCUGCAACUCGACCCCGUGAAGUCGGAGUCGCUAGUAAUCGCAGAUCAGCAAUGCUGCGGUGAAUACGUUCCCGGCCUUGUACACACCGCCCGUCACGUCACGAAAGUCGGUAACACCCGAAGCCGGUGGCCUAACCCUAGGAGCCGUCGAAGGUGGGACCGGCGAUUGGGACGAAGUCGUAACAAGGUAGCCGUACCGGAAGGUGCGGCUGGAUCACCUCCUUUCUAAGGAGCGUGUCCCGGUUCGCGUCGGGUGGUCCAGGGCCAGGGCCGGGCGAGUGUCCCGGUCUGGUUGCUCGAGGGCGUGGACGCUGACGGUCGCCGGCUGGUGCCGGUUCCUAGUACGGGUGGGAACGGGGCUGUGGGGUCGGGGUCCUGGGCACGUUGGGUCCUGAGGGAGCGAGUUUCUUCGGUGAUCGUGAGUUGGGGGCGGGGUGGGGGGUUCGGUCGCGGGGUCCGCGGUACCGCGUCUGGUCGUGGUGGCGGGGGUUCGUCUGUACUUCGAGAACUGCACAGUGGACGCGAUCUUUGUGGCCAAGUUAUUAAGGGCG